rnacentral:rRNA from 1 species
UUCUAAAAAAUACUAGUGAUAAGGGGUGGGCAGUUCUGGUGUCAGCCGCCGCGGUAAAAACAGCACCUCAAGUGGUCAGGAGGAUAUUGGGCCUAAAGCAUCCGUAGCCGGCUCUUCAAGUUUUCGGUUAAAUCUAUACGCUUAACGUAUAGGCUGCCAAAAAUACUGUAGAGCUAGGGAGUGGGAGAGGUAGACGGUACUCGGUAGGAAGGGGUAAAAUCUUUUGAUCUAUUGAUGACCACCUGUGGCGAAGGCGGUCUACCAGAACAUGUUCGACGGUGAGGGAUGAAAGCUGGGGGAGCAAACCGGAUUAGAUACCCGGGUAGUCCCAGCUGUAAACGAUGCAGACUCGAUGAUGUAUUAGCAUAUAGCUGAUACAGUGUCGCAGGGAAGCCGUUAAGUCUGCCGCCUGGGAAGUACGUACGCAAGUAUGAAACUUAAAGGAAUUGGCGGGGGAGCACCACAAGGGGUGAAGCCUGCGGUUCAAUUGGAGUCAACGCCAGAAAUCUUACCCGAAGAGACAGCAGAAUGAAGGUCAGGUUGAAGACCUUACCAGACAAGCUGAGAGGUGGUGCAUGGCCGUCGUCAGCUCGUGCCGUGAGAUGUCCUGUUAAGUCAGGUAACGAGCGAGAUCCUUGCUACUAGUUGCUAUCAUUGUUUUCCGAAAUAAUGGGGCGAAUUAGUAGGACUGCCGUUCUUAAAACGGAGGAAGGAGAGGGCUACGGCAGGUCAGUAUGCCCCGAAACUUUGGGGCCACACGCGGGCUGCAAUGGUAGUGACAAUGGGUUCCGAACUUGAAAGAGAGAGGUAAUCCCAAAACGCUACCACAGUUAUGACUGAGGGCUGUAACUCGCCCUCACGAAUAUGGAAUCCCUAGUAACUGCGUGUCAUUACCGCGCGGUGAAUACGUCCCUGCUCCUUGCACACACCGCCCGUCGUUUCAUCGAAGUUUGCUUUUAGCGAGGUGAUGUUUAAUGGCAUCAUCGAACU